rnacentral:rRNA from 1 species
AUUGAACGCUGGCGGCAUGCCUUACACAUGCAAGUCGAACGGCAGCGGGGGAGAAGCUUGCUUUUCCUGCCGGCGAGUGGCGAACGGGUGAGUAAUACAUCGGAACGUGCCCCGUAGUGGGGGAUAACUAGUCGAAAGAUUAGCUAAUACCGCAUACGACCUGAGGGUGAAAGUGGGGGACCGCAAGGCCUCAUGCUAUAGGAGCGGCCGAUGUCUGAUUAGCUAGUUGGUGGGGUAAGGCCUACCAAGGCGACGAUCAGUAGCUGGUCUGACAGGACGAUCAGCCACACUGGGACUGAGACACGGGCCAGACUCCUACGGGAGGCAGCAGUGGGGAAUUUUGGACAAUGGGCGAAAGCCUGAUCCAGCAAUGCCGCGUGUGUGAAGAAGGCCUUCGGGUUGUAAAGCACUUUUGUCCGGAAAGAAAUGGCUCUGGUUAAUACCUGGGGUCGAUGACGGUACCGGAAGAAUAAGGACCGGCUAACUACGUGCCAGCCGCCGCGGUAA